rnacentral:lncRNA from 1 species
GAUCUCUUUUACAUCUUACUAUCUUAGUCACACACUCCAAUAAGUCAUUCGGAGUCCUGAAUUCCCCCGGUCAAACCCCAGACCUCCACUAAUACUGAGCCGCAGUGGUUCCAGACCUCAUCCCUACAGCUCACCCCCACAGCUUCCGUGGGCAGAAGGUGCCCAGCUGCAGGCACGGCUCCUUUCCCAGGAAAGCGGUGGCCUCUCUUUGACGUCCCUGAGCCCCUCGCUCCACCCUCCAGAGUGGGUGUGUUACUUGAGUUUAACUCCAGGAAAAUCCCUAGAAGAACGAAGCUUGGUGCUUUCUAAAGGGCUCUUACUACUUUUUCAAACAUCAGUUUGGAUCAUCCAUCUAGUUGGAUGGACGUGUUUGUUGCCUGUAAACCCGACACUGUAAACCCGACACUGGAGGCAGGAGGUUCACUACAAGUUCGAGGUCAGCCUGGGCCACAGAGAUCCAGCCUCAAAAUUUGAAAAAAAAAAAAAAAAA